rnacentral:rRNA from 1 species
GACGAACGCUGGCGGCGUGCUUAACACAUGCAAGUCGAACGGAAAGGCCUCUUUCGGGGGGUACUCGCGUGGCGAACGGGUGAGUAACACGUGAGUAUCCUGCCCUUUACUUUGGGAUAUAUUCUGGAAACUCGGGCUAAUACCGGAUAGGAGCGCCUGCUGCGUGGUGGGGGUGGGGAAGUUUCGGCGGUUGGGGAUGGACUCGCGGGGCAUCAGCUUGUUGGUGGGGUAGUGGCUUACCAAGGGGUUGACGGGUAGCCGGCCCGGGAGGGUGACCGGCCACAUUGGGGCCUAGGAACGGCCCAGGCUCCUACCGGGGGCAGGAGGGGGGAAUUUUGCACAAUGGGUGGAAGGCUGAUGCAGCAACGGCGUGGGCGGGAUUGCGGCCUUUGGGGUUGAAACCGGUUUCGCUCAUUGCGGAGCUGUGUGUGACGGUAGUGGGUAAAGAAGCACCGGCUAACUACGUG